rnacentral:rRNA from 1 species
CUGGCUGUAUGACCAUUCUAACCCGCCACGCUUAGCGCGUGGGGAGACAGUGUCAGGUGGGCAGUUUGACUGGGGCGGUCGCCUCCUAAAGAGUAACGGAGGCGCCCAAAGGUUCCCUCAGAAUGGAUGGAAAUCAUUCGCAGAGUGUAAAGGCACAAGGGAGCUUGACUGCGAGACUGACAAGUCGAGCAGGGACGAAAGUCGGG